CCGAAACCAGGUGAUCUACCCUUGGUCAGGUUGAAGUUCAGGUAACACUGAAUGGAGGACCGAACCGACUUACGUUGAAAAGUGAGCGGAUGAACUGAGGGUAGCGGAGAAAUUCCAAUCGAACCUGGAGAUAGCUGGUUCUCUCCGAAAUAGCUUUAGGGCUAGCCUCAAGUGAUGAUUAUUGGAGGUAGAGCACUGUUUGGACGAGGGGCCCCUCUCGGGUUACCGAAUUCAGACAAACUCCGAAUGCCAAUUAAUUUAACUUGGGAGUCAGAACAUGGGUGAUAAGGUCCGUGUUCGAAAGGGAAACAGCCCAGACCACCAGCUAAGGUCCCAAAAUAUAUGUUAAGUGGAAAAGGAUGUGGCGUUGCCCAGACAACUAGGAUGUUGGCUUAGAAGCAGCCAUCAUUUAAAGAGUGCGUAAUAGCUCACUAGUCGAGUGACACUGCGCCGAAAAUGUACCGGGGCUAAACAUAUUACCGAAGCUGUGGAUUGUCCUUUGGACAAUGGUAGGAGAGCGUUCUAAGGGCGUUGAAGCAUGAUCGUAAGGACAUGUGGAGCGCUUAGAAGUGAGAAUGCCGGUGUGAGUAGCGAAAGACGGGUGAGAAUCCCGUCCACCGAUUGACUAAGGUUUCCAGAGGAAGGCUCGUCCGCUCUGGGUUAGUCGGGUCCUAAGCUGAGGCCGACAGGCGUAGGCGAUGGAUAACAGGUUGAUAUUCCUGUACCACCUAUAAUCGCUUUAAUCGAUGGGGGGACGCAGUAGGAUAGGCGAAGCGUGCGAUUGGAUUGCACGUCUAAGCAGUAAGGCUGAGUAUUAGGCAAAUCCGGUACUCGUUAAGGCUGAGCUGUGAUGGGGAGAAGACAUUGUGUCUUCGAGUCGUUGAUUUCACACUGCCGAGAAAAGCCUCUAGAUAGAAAAUAGGUGCCCGUACCGCAAACCGACACAGGUAGUCAAGAUGAGAAUUCUAAGGUGAGCGAGCGAACUCUCGUUAAGGAACUCGGCAAAAUGACCCCGUAACUUCGGGAGAAGGGGUGCUCUUUAGGGUUAACGCCCAGAAGAGCCGCAGUGAAUAGGCCCAAGCGACUGUUUAUCAAAAACACAGGUCUCUGCUAAACCGUAAGGUGAUGUAUAGGGGCUGACGCCUGCCCGGUGCUGGAAGGUUAAGAGGAGUGGUUAGCUUCUGCGAAGCUACGAAUCGAAGCCCCAGUAAACGGCGGCCGUAACUAUAACGGUCCUAAGGUAGCGAAAUUCCUUGUCGGGUAAGUUCCGACCCGCACGAAAGGCGUAACGAUUUGGGCACUGUCUCAACGAGAGACUCGGUGAAAUCAUAGUACCUGUGAAGAUGCAGGUUACCCGCGACAGGACGGAAAGACCCCGUGGAGCUUUACUGUAGCCUGAUAUUGAAAUUCGGCACAGCUUGUACAGGAUAGGUAGGAGCCUUUGAAACGUGAGCGCUAGCUUACGUGGAGGCGCUGGUGGGAUACUACCCUAGCUGUGUUGGCUUUCUAACCCGCACCACUUAUCGUGGUGGGAGACAGUGUCAGGCGGGCAGUUUGACUGGGGCGGUCGCCUCCUAAAAGGUAACGGAGGCGCUCAAAGGUUCCCUCAGAAUGGUUGGAAAUCAUUCAUAGAGUGUAAAGGCAUAAGGGAGCUUGACUGCGAGACCUACAAGUCGAGCAGGGUCGAAAGACGGACUUAGUGAUCCGGUGGUUCCGCAUGGAAGGGCCAUCGCUCAACGGAUAAAAGCUACCCCGGGGAUAACAGGCUUAUCUCCCCCAAGAGUUCACAUCGACGGGGAGGUUUGGCACCUCGAUGUCGGCUCAUCGCAUCCUGGGGCUGUAGUCGGUCCCAAGGGUUGGGCUGUUCGCCCAUUAAAGCGGUACGCGAGCUGGGUUCAGAACGUCGUGAGACAGUUCGGUCCCUAUCCGUCGUGGGCGUAGGAAAUUUGAGAGGAGCUGUCCUUAGUACGAGAGGACCGGGAUGGACAUACCUCUGGUGUACCAGUUGUCGUGCCAACGGCAUAGCUGGGUAGCUAUGUGUGGACGGGAUAAGUGCUGAAAGCAUCUAAGCAUGAAGCCCCCCUCAAGAUGAGAUUUCCCAACUUCGGUUAUAAGAUCCCUCAAAGAUGAUGAGGUUAAUAGGUUCGAGGUGGAAGCAUGGUGACAUGUGGAGCUGACGAAUACUAAUCGAUCGAAGAC
rnacentral:rRNA from 1 species